rnacentral:rRNA from 1 species
CGGGACUCUCACGAGGCCUCGUAAUCGGAAUGAGUACACUUUAAAUAUUUUAACGAGGAACAAUUGGAGGGCAAGUCUGGUGCCAGCAGCCGCGGUAAUUCCAGCUCCAAUAGCGUAUACUAAAUUUGUUGCGGUUAAAAAGCUCGUAGUUGCAUUUGUGCGCCGCGCUGUCGGUGCACCGCAUCCGCGGUGAUACUGACACGUCUGCGGAGCAUAUCGUCGGUGAGCCGCCGGUCAAACGGCGGUUCAAUAUCAAAAUCCUAUCGCGGUGCUCUUCAGUGAGUGUCGAGAUGGGCCGACAAUUUUACUUUGAACAAAUUAGAGUGCUCAAAGCGGGCUCAAAACGCUGCUUGAAUAUUUCGUGCAUGGAAUAAUGGAAUAUGAUCUCGGUUCUAUUUUGUUGGUUUUCAGAACUCCGAGGUAAUGAUUAAUAGGGAUAACUGGGGGCAUUCGUAUUGCGACGUUAGAGGUGAAAUUCUUGGAUCGUCGCAAGACGAACAUCAGCGAAAGCAUUUGCCAAAGGUGUUUUCAUCAAUCAAGAACGAAAGUUAGAGGUUCGAAGGCGAUUAGAUACCGCCCUAGUUCUAACCGUAAAUAUGUCAUCUAGCGAUCCGCCGACGUUAAUCAGAUGGCUCGGCGGGCAGCUUCCGGGAAACCAAAGAUUUUGGACUCCGGGGGGAGUAUGGUUGCAAAGCUGAAACUUAAAGGAA